CUUCCGUGUUUUAAUAUUUUUCCGAUGACCUUCCCUAGGAGAUUUCUUAAGGGCAGGUGUUUUUUUCCUUAAGCCCCUCAGGCCUUGUGAAUGUUAAGUGCCCAGGAGCAUUGAUUUCCAAGUUGUUGUUAUGGGAAAUGGCCACAAGGUGGCAGCAUGUCUUUAUGCCCAACUCUGGUUGCUGAGGGAACCAGCUGUUGCUGCUGCUAAGUCGCUUCAGUCGUGUCAGACUCUGUGCGACCCCAUAGACGGCAGCCCACCAGACUCCGCCGUCCCUGGGAUUCUCCGGGCAAGAACACUGGAGUGGGUUGCCAUUUCCUUCUCCAGUGCAUGAAAGUGAAAAGUGAAAGUGAAGUCGCACAGUCGUAUUCGACUCUUCGCGACCCCGUGGACUGCAGCCUACCAGGCUCCUCCGUCCAUGGGAUUUUCCAGACAACAGUAAUGGAGUGGGUUGCCAUCGCCUUCUCCCGAAGGAACCAGAGCCUUGGGACACUGGGCUGCACUCUGAGAAGUUCCUGGAUCUCCCCUGGACCUGACCAUCAUGUGGCCAGAGAAAUUGCCCAGCUCUCCUGUUUUCUCAGCACUUCAGCAGGACAAGAAAGACAGAGCCUGCCAGAACCAAGGCCUGUGCCUGUUUUAUUCUUUACCACCGUGAGGUUCACCUUCCCUGGGGCUCCUGGAGACUCCUCCCGUGGCUACCUGUCGACCGUCCCUCCUCAGCAGAGACCAGACCUGCCCCUCGUCUCCCAGCCCUGCGCCUGGUGUGUGUUUUGUCAACACUUCAGUGGAACAAGAAAGGACCAAGCCUGCAAGAACCAAGACUCAUCCCAACCUCGGGCACUGCUUCCUGCUGAAACGCCUAGGAGGCUGCACUCUCAAAAAAGAGAGUUCAGCUAGAGACCCCAGCACCAGGGGACCUGGAGGCCAGGUGACUUUUCAAAAGUUCUUGUGGUCAGAGGCUCAGGCUACCAUUCUUUUGAUGCACUAA
rnacentral:lncRNA from 1 species